rnacentral:rRNA from 1 species
UUCCGGUUGAUCCCGCCGGACCUGACUGCUAUCGGAUUGAUACUAAGCCAUGCUAGUCUUUGUAGUAAUACAAGGCAUACGGCUCAGUAACGCGUAGUCAACCUACCCUAUGGACGGGGAUAAUCUCGGGAAACUGAGCAUAAUACCCGGCAGACCACUUAUCCUGGAAUGGUUUAUGGUUGAAAUGAUUCGUCGCCAUAGGAUGGGACUGCGGCCUAUCAGCUUGUUGGUGAGGUAAUGGCCCACCAAGGCGAUUACAGGUACGGGCUCUGAGAGGAGAAGCCCGGAGAUGGGUACUGAGACAAGGACCCAGGCCCUAUGGGGCGCAGCAGGCGAGAAAACUUUGCAAUGUGCGAAAGCACGACAAGGUUAAUCCGAGUGAUUUCUGCUAAAGAAAUCUUUUGCAAGUCAUAAAACCACUAGUGAAUAAGGGGUGGGCAAGUUCUGGUGUCAGCCGCCGCGGUAAAACCAGCACCUCAAGUGGUCAGGAGGAUUAUUGGGCCUAAAGCAUCCGUAGCCGGCUCUGUAAGUUUUCGGUUAAAUCCAUGUGCUCAACGCAUGGGCUGCCGAAAAUACUGCAUAGCUAGGGAGUGGGAGAGGUAGACGGUACUCGGUAGGAAGGGGUAAAAUCCUUUGAUCUAUCGAUGACCACCUGUGGCGAAGGCGGUCUACCAGAACACGUUCGACGGUGAGGGAUGAAAGCUGGGGGAGCAAACCGGAUUAGAUACCCGGGUAGUCCCAGCCGUAAACGAUGCAGACUCGAUGAUGCAUUGGCAUAUAGCCAGUGCAGUGUCGCAGGGAAGCCGUUAAGUCUGCCGCCUGGGAAGUACGUACGCAAGUAUGAAACUUAAAGGAAUUGGCGGGGGAGCACCACAAGGGGUGAAGCCUGCGGUUCAAUUGGAUUCAACGCCGGG